UUUUUUUUUUGAUACUUCUUGCUAAGUUGCUUAGGGCUUCACUAAGUUGUUGUUGAGGCUGGCUUUGAACUUGUUGUGAUCGUUCUGCCUCAGCCUUCUGAGUCACUGGUGUUACAAGCAUGUGCCACUGUGCCCAGCUAGUUCUGGCAUAUUUUAAGGUCACUUUUCCCCUCUGGCUCAAGUUCCUUGGCCUAUUCAAAGAUGGAAAAUGCUACAUCUGAGGUAAGUGGAUUUGCUAAGGAAAUGGACUUAGGAAAACACAUUUGCAUGUGGGAAUACCCACCUAUAAGGGCAAAAUUAGUGCCUAACCACUGCAUUAUAAGGAACCUGAGUCAUAGAAUAGAAGUAAAUGAAUUAGGGAAGACACAAACAAGGCAGCUAUUAUAUAAAUUUCAGUGAAUUGGACAUUAAACUUAACAUCACACCCCCCAACUUUUUUUGGUAGAACAGGGGAUUGAACCCAGGGGCACUUUACCAUUGAGCUACAUCCCAAGUCCUUUUUAUUUUUUUAUUUUGAAACAGGUCUUGCUACAAUGCUGAGGGUCCUGCUAAAUUGCUGAGGCUGGCCUCAAACUUGUGAUCCUCCUGCUUCAGCCUCCCAAGUACCUGGGAUUACAGGUGUGUGCCACUGCACCUGGCCAAAUUUAAUGUUUUUUAAAACAUCUUUGUUUCCAUUGUUUUAUAACUGAAAUUAGGAAAAAGAAAACUAUUGAACCAUGUUUACCUUUUUUUUUUUUUUGGUGCUGGGGGAUUGAAUUCAGGGGCACUCAACCACUGAGCUACAUCCUCAGCCCUAUUUUAUAUUGUAUUUAGAGACAGGGUCUCACUGAGUUGCUUAGCGCCUUGCUGUUGCUGAGACUGGCUUUGAACUCUGGAUCCUCCUGCCUCAGCCUCCCAAGCUGCUGGGAUUACAGGUGUGUGCCAUCCUGCCGGUCCAUAUUUACUUUUUUUUUUUUUUUAAUCUGUUUUUGUUGUUGUUGUAGGUGGACACAAUAUCUUUGUUUUAUUUAUUUAUUUUAUGUGGUGCCGAGGAUCAAACCCAGUGCCUCAUGCAUGCCAGGCAAGUGCUCAACCACUAAGCUACAACCCCAGCCUCCCAUAUUUACUUUUGUU
rnacentral:lncRNA from 1 species